rnacentral:rRNA from 1 species
AGCAGUCGCCGCGGUAAUACGUAGGUGGCAAGCGUUGUCCGGAAUUAUUGGGCGUAAAGGGCUCGCAGGCGGUUUCUUAAGUCUGAUGUGAAAGCCCCCGGCUCAACCGGGGAGGGUCAUUGGAAACUGGGAAACUUGAGUGCAGAAGAGGAGAGUGGAAUUCCACGUGUAGCGGUGAAAUGCGUAGAGAUGUGGAGGAACACCAGUGGCGAAGGCGACUCCCUGGUCUGUAACUGACGCUGAGGAGCGAAAGCGUGGGGAGCGAACAGGAUUAGAUACCCGAGUAGUCCCUGUCUCUUAUAC